GUGCCCCAGAGGAUCACCCAGCUUUGUCCACGUGGAGCUCAUCCUACCAAUGAUAUGAUGGCUGUGAUUGUCAACAUCGUAUGGGGAAGACCAAGUCCACGCUUCAUCCUGGAUCAGCUGCUACCACUAGGAAGAGAAUCACUACCCAGUCUCAGCCUGGGGUCAGGAGAGUCGGAAGGCUUACAAGACUCAGCAGGAGUGCUGGAACAUGGGUUCAACACAGAAGCCUAUUUUAAGAAGCUGAAAAAUAGGGG